ensembl:lncRNA
AUGUCAGUGGAGCCGUCUCCUCCACAUAAGCUGGAGAAGCCAGCGGGGGUGCUUGAGCAGAGGAACUGGCACAGACCUGGCGGGCAGGAGGGGCUGGUAAACGCUGCUUCUGUGAAAGCAGGUCAUCGGAGGACCCCACCAUCCCAAACCAGACUGCACACCCUGUCCAGCUUUUGUGGACUCGGCAACGGGACCCAAGGGGUAUUUCUGGAGACCUUCCCAAAGGAGCCAUCCAGCCAGGGUCUUUGCAGAAGUAAUUGAGGAUCUUGAGGUGGGAGCGUCCUCAAGUAUCCUGCUGAGCCCUCAAUCCAAGGACAACUGACCUCGUAGGAGAAAGAGGAGAUUUGGACAGAAGCGGGAAGACAGAGGCGUGAGUCGGGGGCUGUGGACCACAGGGCAGAGAGCGAAGCCACGUGGCUGCAGAUUCUCCCCUGGAUGCGCAAGGGGAGUGUGACCUUCCUGGACUUCUGAUUUCUGGCCUCCAGAAUGGUGAGGUGAUAAACU